AAAUUGAAGAGUUUGAUCAUGGCUCAGAUUGAACGCUGGCGGCAGGCCUAACACAUGCAAGUCGAACGGUAACAGGAAGCAGCUUGCUGCUUUGCUGACGAGUGGCGGACGGGUGAGUAAUGUCUGGGAAACUGCCUGAUGGAGGGGGAUAACUACUGGAAACGGUGGCUAAUACCGCAUAACGUCGCAAGACCAAAGAGGGGGACCUUCGGGCCUCUUGCCAUCAGAUGUGCCCAGAU
rnacentral:rRNA from 36 species